ACGCACGCUGGCGGCGUGCUUCACCCCUGCAAGUCGCACGGAAAGGCCCUGCUUUUGUGGGGUGCUCGAGUGGCGAACGGGUGAGUAACACGUGAGUAACCUGCCCUUGACUUUGGGACAACUUCAAGAAACUGGGGCUAAUACCGGAUAGGAGCUCCUGCUGCAUGGUGGGGGUUGGAAAGUUUCGGCGGUUGGGGAUGGACUCGCGGCUUAUCAGCUUGUUGGUGGGGUAGUGGCUUACCAAGGCUUUGACGGGUAGCCGGCCUGAGAGGGUGACCGGCCACAUUGGGACUGAGAUACGGCCCAGACUCCUACGGGAGGCAGCAGUGGGGAAUAUUGCACAAUGGGCGGAAGCCUGAUGCAGCAACGCCGCGUGCGGGAUGACGGCCUUCGGGUUGUAAACCGCUUUCGCCUGUGACGAAGCGUGAGUGACGGUAAUGGGUAAAGAAGCACCGGCUAACUACGUG
rnacentral:rRNA from 1 species